rnacentral:rRNA from 1 species
GGAAUCUUAGACAAUGGGCGCAAGCCUGAUCUAGCCAUGCCGCGUGAGCGAUGAAGGCCUUAGGGUUGUAAAGCUCUUUCACCGGGGAAGAUAAUGACGGUACCCGGAGAAGAAGCCCCGGCUAACUUCGUGCCAGCAGCCGCGGUAAUACGAAGGGGGCUAGCGUUGCGCGGAAUCACUGGGCGUAAAGCGCACGUAGGCGGAUCUUUAAGUCAGGGGUGAAAUCCCGGAGCUCAACUCCGGAACUGCCUUUGAUACUGGGGAUCUUGAGUCCGGGAGAGGUGAGUGGAACUGCGAGUGUAGAGGUGAAAUUCGUAGAUAUUCGCAAGAACACCAGUGGCGAAGGCGGCUCACUGGCCCGGUACUGACGCUGAGGUGCGAAAGCGUGGGGAGCAA